rnacentral:rRNA from 1 species
ACGGGUGAGUAACGCGUGGGAACAUACCCUUUCCUGCGGAAUAGCUCUGGGAAACUGGAAUUAAUACCGCAUACGCCCUACGGGGGAAAGAUUUAUCGGGGAAGGAUUGGCCCGCGUUGGAUUAGCUAGUUGGUGGGGUAAAGGCCUACCAAGGCGACGAUCCAUAGCUGGUCUGAGAGGAUGAUCAGCCACAUUGGGACUGAGACACGGCCCAAACUCCUACGGGAGGCAGCAGUGGGGAAUAUUGGACAAUGGGCGCAAGCCUGAUCCAGCCAUGCCGCGUGAGUGAUGAAGGCCUUAGGGUUGUAAAGCUCUUUCACCGAUGAAGAUAAUGACGGUAGUCGGAGAAGAAGCCCCGGCUAACUUCGUGCCAGCAGCCGCGGUAAUACGAAGGGGGCUAGCGUUGUUCGGAAUUACUGGGCGUAAAGCGCACGUAGGCGGAUAUUUAAGUCAGGGGUGAAAUCCCGCAGCUCAACUGCGGAACUGCCUUUGAUACUGGGUAUCUUGAGUAUGGAAGAGGUAAGUGGAAUUCCGAGUGUAGAGGUGAAAUUCGUAGA